AAGUCGUAACAAGGUUUCCGUAGGUGAACCUGCGGAAGGAUCAUUAUCGAGUUUUGACUGGGUUGUAGCUGGCCUCCCGAGACAUGUGCACGCCCUGCUCAUCCACUCUACACCUGUGCACUUACUGUGGGCUUCAGACGUCGUGAAGCGGGCUCUUUACGGAGCUUGUAGAGCGUGUCUGUGCCUGCGUUUACCACAAACUCUAUAAAGUAUUAGAAUGUGUAUUGCGAUGUAACGCAUCUAUAUACAACUUUCAGCAACGGAUCUCUUGGCUCUC
rnacentral:misc_RNA from 1 species